UACGAAGGGGGCUAGCGUUGCUCGGAAUCACUGGGCGUAAAGGGUGCGUAGGCGGGUUUUUAAGUCAGGGGUGAAAUCCUGGAGCUCAACUCCAGAACUGCCUUUGAUACUGAAGAUCUUGAGUCCGGGAGAGGUGAGUGGAACUGCGAGUGUAGAGGUGAAAUUCGUAGAUAUUCGCAAGAACACCAGUGACGAAGGCGGCUCACUGGCCCGAUACUGACGCUGAGGCACGAAAGCGUGGGGAGCAAACAGG
rnacentral:rRNA from 1 species